AAACAUAUGUACAGGGGGCAUUUACAAUAUGGGGGGGGUAUGGGGGGAUUUAGGGUGGGGGGGUCUGUACAAUGGGGGGGUGCAUUGUACAGCAUGUACAGCCCCACAAUGGCCCGUGUUUCUACAAGAAACAGCCAAAAAUGGGGGCGGGGGGGGGCAACAGGGAGGUGUCAUGGCUGCCAUUGAGGUGUCAUGGCCGACAGUGGGGUGUCAUGGCCACCAUUGAGGUGUCAUGGUCACCAAUGGGGUGUCAUGGCCGCCAUUGAAGUGUCAUGGCUGCCAUUGAGGUGUCAUGGCCGCCAUUGGGGUGUCAUGGCCACCAUUGAGGUGUCAUGGCCGCCAAUGGGGUGUCAUGGCCGACAGUGGGGUGUCAUGGCUGACAAGGUGUCAUGGCCGACAAGGUGUCAUGGCCGCCAUUGAGGUGUCAUGGCCGCCAUUGGGGUGUCAUGGCCGCCAUUGAGGUGUCAUGGCCGCCAUUGAGGUGUCAUGGCCGACAAGGUGUCAUGGCCGCCAAUGGGGUGUCAUGGCCGCCAUUGAGGUGUCAUGGCUGCCAAUGGGGUGUCAUGGCUGACAAGGUGUCAUGGCCGCCAUUGAGGUGUCAUGGCCGACAAGGUGUCAUGGCCGCCAUGAUGAUGUCCGCCAUGUUGUCUGCCAUGACACCAUGUUGUCCGCCAUGUUGUCCGCCAUGUUGUCCGCCAUGAUGAUGUCCGCCAUGUUGUCCACCAUGUUGUCAGCCAUGUUGUCUGCCAUGUUGUCCGCCACGUUGUCGGCCACGUUGCCGUCAGUUGAGGGUCCCGCGGCAGCUGUCGGUGCGGCAGAGGCAGGGGAUCUUGGUGUCCUCGAUGGGGAACUUGUAGUCGUAGGUGAUCUCCUCGUUGACCCCGAUGGGCUGCUUCGAGUAGAU
rnacentral:lncRNA from 1 species